UACGGAGGGUGCGAGCGUUGUCCGGAAUCACUGGGCGUAAAGGGCGCGUAGGCGGCCCGUCAAGCGUGUGGUGAAAGCCCGGGGCUCAACCCCGGGUCGGCCGUGCGGACUGGCGGGCUCGAGCACUGUAGGGGCGGGUGGAAUUCCGGGUGUAGCGGUGGAAUGCGUAGAGAUCCGGAAGAACACCGGUGGCGAAGGCGGCCCGCUGGGCAGGAAGGCCCCCUCACGGGGGCCGGCUGACGCUGAGGGCGCGACAGCGUGGGGGAGCAAACAGG
rnacentral:rRNA from 1 species